CACUCAAGCUCCGUCCACUUCCUUCCUAAACCACAACCACCAUCUCUGCCAAAACCAAACCAAACCAAAGUGCAACUCACCAAAAACACAAGGCAAGGCCAUAACGAUGGCAAGACAUGCCCCCCAAAUCCAUGACCAACCACUCCAAGAAGAGGACUACAUAGACAUGGAUUUGAGCUCACCUGCAGCAGCAGAAGUGGUCACCACCACAGCAAGCUUGCUCUGCUACACCACAGCCAUGGCAGCCUCACCCCAACACUCAAGGGAGUUUGAGUUCCAAAUGUCAGCUCCGCUUGACCACUGGGAGCCCAUGGCAUCACCAGCAGAUGAGCUCUUCUACAAGGGCAAACUGCUACCACUCCACCUUCCACCACGGAUCCAAAUGGUUGAAAAGCUCCUCGAGAUUGCGGCUGACAAGGGCCUCCUCUCUGCAAGCACUGCCCCAGCGACACCAUACCAGUCGUGCAAUGUUUCCCCAGCAAAUUCAUGUUAUGCUAGUGGUGAGCUCAAUUCGGAGCAUUAUUUCCACGAAUGCACAUCCACCAGUAUUGGUGCUGCUGAUGUGGAAUUAGCAUGCGAGAAGAAGCCAUGGUCCAAGAAGCUCAAGUUCGUCAGGAAUCUCAAACUUGGCCUCAAGCUCAAGGCAUCAAAAGCUUACCUCAAGACAAUAUUUGCCGCUAAAGCAGGGGAUCCAGAUGACAAGAGUGAUGCACCUAGAGCAAAUGAGUUCUCCACUGCCCAGGUCAAGAGUUGGAGGAAGCCAUUUGGCCAAAUCAGAAGCAACAGGUACACAGCCUCGCCCAUCAGCAACAGUACCACACUCGGUGGGAAGCUUAAAGAAGAUGAGUGCGGGCAUAGGAGGUCGUUCUCCAGCGUCAUUAUAGGAUAUUCGUCAUCAAACAAGACGUCAUCUGCCUCAUCAUCAUCAUGCUCUUCGUCGAACUCAUCCUCCUCCAUCCCAAGCUCAAGUGACUCUGGUUUGGGGCCAGUGCUGAGGAGGAGCAGCAGUGCAAGCUCUGAGAUGGAUAAUCCCAUCCAGGGUGCAAUAGCAUACUGCAAGAAGUCACAGCAACUAGCCUCGGUGAGGAAGAGUGCCAGCGAUACAGGUUUCCGGUUCAUGUCAUCGUCAGCGUCAAAGAUAGCUGCAGAAUCUGAAGAUGCAGAAGACAUUAUUGAGAUUUGCCGAAGACAGUAGUAUAAAAGUACGAAAAUUCAAAACCCUGAUAAUUCUGUACACUUUUGAUCUUAUGCUUCCUGCAAACAUGAUAUAUUGUUAAAACAGUAAUGUUAUUUCCUUGAAGAAAACUCGGAUAUAUAUAUGUAAAGUAAUUUCUGUUCUGUCUACAAACAAACAGUUUCACUAUGUUCAAAAUAGUAUUUUAGCACUUGACAUGGUUGUAGAAACAAUGGAAGUACCAGACUACAGAUAAAACCGCACAAAAAAAAUUAAGGUAAAGUUUUUUUCCAAUCAGUAUCCAUAUUACAGAUGCAUGUGUAGCAAGUCCAUAACUAAGAAGAGAGGUAAGGGAAACAAAUAUCAUAAGUCACAGGCAACGGGUCAUGGUUAUCACUUAUCAGAAGACAGCCAAUACUGUUUUGGGUUAAGCUGGCAUUUGCACCAUGGUUGUAUAGAUAUCACAUGCACAAAGCAGUUCCUGAUUAGAUCUUGCCUGCUUUUUCUUUGGUGAACACAAGAAACAUACUCCCAAAAGGUUUCUGUUCCAGUUAUGUGUAUACGGUGCAAUAUAGGUAAAGAACCAAUAAGUUUUUAACGAAGCUAUGAUAUUAACAGACAAGGAAAGAUAAUGAAGCUUUUCUUAUGCAACAUGGUCGCAGCUUGAAUAUUACAUUAUGAGCAAGUAACAAUGGCACAAAUACAACAUUACAGUGAGUCCAGCUAUAUUAAAAAGAAAUUUUUCUGGCAACCUCGCACCUUAAUAUUAUUAUUAAUACGUAUGUAAUUAUGCAUCUUGAGCUUUACUCUCCUCUCCUGAUUGCUAAUCCUUAUGUAUUUAGGGAUUUGAGCGCUAAUUAAUCCGUAUCUUGAGCUUUACUCUUCUGAAUGCUAAUUCUUGCGUAUUUAGGUGCCAGAACGCUAAUAUCACUCUAAUGGCUCAAUCGAGAAGGUGAGAAACAUACAUAUACUACAGCAGGGACCUUAUUUGGGAAAUGUAUAGCACUGGUGACUGGCACUUAAAACAUGAAAGGCAAAAAGAUAAUGCCAUCGAGAUAAGAACAGGCAAUGGGAAAGCUUCAGAGGUUAAGCCAAAGACAUAAUAUAACAAGAGAUGAACUUCGUUGCUAAAUUUAAUAUCCCCCCUUGUCUAUCUCCUGAGAAAUAUCAGGGGGGAAAGAAAACAUGGAGCUACGGGCGAAGAGGGGGAAAUAGAGCAGAUGAAAUGCGUGUUUGGAUCUCUUGCUUACCUUGCUUAGCUAGACUAGAGAAAACUAGCUCAGCUGGUCAAAGCUAGGAAGAGCAAGGCUUGUAGUUUGGUUAACACCAAUUGCAAGCACGAAGCAGUUUGCAUAACAGAAAGUAGCGAGGCGUGUUUGCCCGUUCGGGAGAGCUGAAUCAGCUCUCCUCUGGUGGCAAGUCUUUGGUUCAGUUAUGGGCUAUCUUGCCUAGCAAAGCAAUAUUUUUUAUCCCCUACCAAA